rnacentral:lncRNA from 1 species
ACAACAUGCAGACAUUUAAGUCGAGAGACUGGGACUUCAGGCCCUAAUGGCAGCUAUAAUUUGGAAGUCAAAUGCAGCAGGGAGCUCUUAGAGCUGAUGCAUGAUUCCUGCAUACAGGCAGCCAAGGUGGUCAUCUCCAGGCACCUGUGGGUUGAAGCAGGAAGACUGUAGCUGCCACUUUCAACGCUUGCCAGGCACCAGCUACUUCAUACAUCUCAUUUAAUCCUUGUAACAGCUCUUUGAGGUGGAUACUUCUAACUGCAGCAUGCAAAGGAGGUUGCAGGCUCAGGAUCAAAGAGACUUUUGGGUCAGGGCACAAGGUUGGCACAGUGGAGGCAAGAUAUGGGUGCAGGGCUGUAGGACUAUGUGGCCAAUGUCUGAGAUCACUUAUCUCUUGCUCCACAUCCUAUGGGGUGCAAUGCUUCCAUGUGUGCAGCUGGGGUAAACUUUAUGCUCUCCUUGGCAGCAUCUAUGGAAUGGGACCAAUUUCAGCCAAGAGGAGACAAUGCUUAUUCCCAGGCACUGCUCUCUUUGACUUGGCAUCUUUUCCAUCUUUUUAUUUAUUGAUGUGGCAAACAUUUAUCUCCUUUCCUCAUGACUGAGCUUCAGAGCUUUAGGAACCUAGAGAUCAUCUAAUUCAAACUCAUGUUUUAGAUGAAGAAACUGAGAUGUACAGAAGAGGAAUAAACAGACUGGGAAAAUGUAUCAGUCAGCAUUGCUGCAUAACAAAUGACCCUCAAACUUCAUGGCUUAAAACAGCAAUGAUGAAUUAUUCUUGAAGAUUCUUUGGUUUGACUGAGUGAUUCUUCAGCUGAUCUUACCUGGGCUCACUUGUGUGGUGGGAGCCACCAAGAAGCUUUCAUCGCAGCAUCUUCAAAUGAUGCUAAGAAUGUACCAAAGCAGGAGCUCUCCAGCCUUGGAAGUUGCAGGUCAUUUCCACUCCAUUCUAUUGGUCAAAGCAUGUCACAGGCUACCCCAGAGGGGCAAGGAGUGGGGGAAAUGGGGAAAUAGACCUCAUAUAUAUAUAUAUAUAUAUAUAUAUAUAUAUAUAUAUAUAUAUAUAUUUAUUUAUUUAUUUAUUUUGAGAAAGUCUUGCUCUGUCGCUUGGGCUGGAGUGCAGCAACGCCAUCUCCACUCACAGCAGCCUCCGCCUCCUGGGUUCAAGCUAUUCUCCUGCCUCAGUCUAUCAAGUAGCUGGGACUAUAGGUGCCUGCCAUCAUGCCCAGCUGAUUUCUGUAUUUUUUGUAGAGACAGGGUUUUGCCAUGUUGGCCAGGCUGGUCUUGAACUCCUGACCUCAGGUGAGCUGCCCACCUUGGCCUCCCAAAGUGCUGGGAUUACAGGCAUGAGCCACAGCACCUGGCCUGGACUUGACUUUUCUUUUCCUUUCUUUUCUUUUCAUCUUUUUUCUUCUCCUCUCCUCUCAUCUCCUCCUUCCUCUCUCUCUCUCUCUCUCUCUCUCUCUCUCUCAUUCGUUCGUUCUUUCAACAGAGUUUCGCUCUUGUUGCCCAGGCUGGAAUGCAAUGGCAGGAUCUCAGUUCACUACAACCUCCGCCUUCUGGGUUCAAGUGAUUCUCCUGCCGCAGCCUCCCGAGUAGCUGGGAUUACAGGCAUGUACCACCAUGCCCAGCUGAUUUUUGUAUUUUUUGUAGAGACAGGGUUUCUCUAUGUUGGCCAGGCUGGUCUUGAACUCCUGACCUCAGGUGAACCACCCACAUUGGCCUCCAAAAGUACUGGGAUUACAGGCAUGAGCUGCCGUGCCUGGCCUAGACCUCAUUUAUUGAUGGGGGGAGCAGGAAAGCCACAUGACCAAGGGGCGAGAAUACAGGGAAGCAUGAAUCAUGCUGUGGGGAGGGAGUCACUGUUGCAGCAGUCUACCUUGAUGACAAGGCCAGUUUCUAGCACAGUCAAGCCUUGACCCCAGGACUCCCGAUUUUGCUCCUUCUUGUGACAGCACACCGCUCUAACACUCCAUGGGACUUCCUAAAAGCCCCUGGGUUUUCCAGAAGUAAGUAUCCCAGCGCCAAGAGACCAUGUGUGUCCCCUCUAUGCUCGUGACUCUGCCAACCAGUGCUCCUUCCUAGUAUCCUGAAUUUUAGGAGAUGAAGAUCUCACACUGAAAUGGCCAUCUUGUCACCCUGUAGCCACCUAUUCCUCCAAUGUGUCCCAGGAUGGGAGGGUUCCAAAUUAUCUCACCCUGGGGGGGGGGGGUAGGUGACCCAUUAGAGUCAGAGAAUAAAAUAUUUGAACUUCUACUCAUAUUUCUGCUUGUCUAAGAAGAAAAUGAAGUUUGCAGAAGUUUAGAAGUAGGGAGACACCAGCACCCUCGCUUGGUUCUUGCAAGGUUGCCAGAUGUCAAGUGUCAUGUGCAGGACAAAGAAGACCCUGAGGGUGAAGGGGAAACUCCGCUGUGGUUGCACAUCGAGACGUGUGUAGGUUGCACACCGAGACAUAUGUAGGUUGCAAGUCUGAUUUACUGGACUGAGGAAUGUAUUAUCCUAACACAAUACUUUCAAUAAUUUGCAAUGAAAUAAAACAUGACUGUGGAAAUAGUUUGCAUGGCACAGACAUUCACUGGCAGCCUUUCUUAAGGAUGAGAGAUAUUCUUUGUCCUCAAGGCGUAAGUUCCACACUUGCUGAGGGUUUUUUGGCCAUGACAAAUGGCCUCCUGAUGUAUGAUAUAAUUUCUCUCCCUAAGGUAUAUAUGUUUUUAUCUUAUCCCUAUAUGCUGUACUAAAGUAAGCACACAACCUGUGCCUUUGAGGUAGGAGAAAUCCACACUAUGGAGAGAGAAUUUUGAAAAUCGAUCGAGUAAGUGUGGGUUAUGGGCUAGGUAUUGGCUUCCCAAACAUCUCAUUUAGUCCCCAGGUGAGGUGAGUGCCGAUGCUCCGUUUUCCAGAUGAGAAAAAUGAUUCUAACAGGUCCAAAGUAGAGGAGGCAGAUCCCCACCAAGCCGGUCCUGACGUCCCCUGAAUACCAGGGUUGCUCUCAGCAGGCACACAGACGUAGCCCACGUCUACAGGAGCUGUGACAUCAUGACAGUCGCCAGGCUCAUCCUUCUCUCACACAGGACAGCCAUGCCAGGCUUUGCUGUCAUCCUGUUGUCAGGAGGAAGAAGCAGGUUUCAGAGACAUGACAGGUGCAGCUGGCCUCCACACUGGUGUCGAGUCUCCUUUCUGCCCUUUCGUGUCACCCAAGACCUCACUGCCCUUCUCCUUGUGCAGAAAGGAGGUCCUGGGGUGGCCGGCAGGAGAGGGAACACCUGUCUUAGGUCUCCAGGUUGGAACUGCUCCUGAUCACCCCCUCUGUGGGGGGUACUUGAGGGUCUGGAAAGCUCAUUCCGAGGGGGAAGAGGGGGGAAAUCUGGGGUGCUGAGGAGCCUGUCCCUAUUGCCAGGUACGGGUCCACCCGCAGUGGGCUGAAUGGUGGCCUCCCACAGAGAUGCCCGUUUUCGAACCCCCAGGCCAGAGUGUGAUUUGUCUUUGCAGAUGUAACUAAGUCAAGCAUCUCGAGAUGAGAUCAGCCUGGAUUACCUGGCUGGACCUAAACUAAACAACAGGUGUUUUUUUGUUUUGUUUUUUUGAGAUGGAGUCUUGCUAUAGUUGCCCAGGCUGGAGUGCAGUGGUGGGAUCUUGGCUCACUGCACCCUCCACCUCUCUGGUUCAAGCGAUUCUUCUGCCUCAGCCUCCCAAGUAGCUGUAGCUGGGACUACAGGCUUGCACCGCCAUACCUCGCUAAUUUUUGCAUUUUUAGUAGAGAUGGGGUUUCACCCUGUUGCCCAAGCUGGUCUCAAACUCCUGACCUCAAGUGAUCCAGCCUCCUGGGCCUCCCAAAGUGCUGGGAUUAUAGGUGUGAGCCACCGCGCCUGGCCAACAGGUGUCUUUAUAAAACACCUACGGCCUGGCUCAUAAGUCACAGAAACUCAGAAUCUGUGGUUAAAUUGAAAUGUUUCCUAAUUGUUUAUUGUGUGUAGAACUCCUCCUGGUGGAAAGUCUAUCAGGAAAUACUCCAACAGCUAUGAAGUGUGACUCCUACUAAACCUACAACAAUUAUCCAUGGGCACUGAGCUGUUCCCUAAACUUCAUCUUUUCUUGUGAGUCUGUUGGUCAUAGCAGACACAAGGUGGUGUAUGUGACCAAUGGCUCUUGUCUUGGGGGCUGGGAGAUCUUCUGUGUUUCUUUUGGUUCCAGAUGUUUCUGUCCCAGCAGCCCAAGAUGUUUCUUGCUGAACCCCUGUGGGAAUGGCAAGACUCGCUAGCUGUCCAUGUGCUUCCCACAUGUGCAUUUCAUGUGGCCCCUAGUUAGCAGGUGCUGCCUUGAGAUACCACCUGUUUUUCUCUUUUCCCUCUCUCUCUCUCUUUCUUUUUUUUUCCCCAGAGUCUCGCUCUGUCACCCAGGCUGGAGUGCAGUUGCGCAAUCUUGGCUCACUGCAACCUCCGCCUCCCAGGUUCAAGUGAUUCUCCUACCUCAGCCUCCCGAGUAGCUGGGAUUACAGGCGUGUGCCACCAUGCGCAGCUAAUGUUUUGUAUUUUUAGUAGAGAUGGGGUUUCACCAUGGUGAUCAGGCUGGUCUCAAACUCCUGACCUCAGGUGAUCCACCCGGCUCAGCCUCCCAAAGUGCUGGGAUUACAAGCGUGAGCCACUGUGCCCGGCCCUGCCUCUCUUUUAAGGACCCUGUGGGUACAUUGGACUCACCUGGAGAUUCCAGGAUAACCUCCCCAUCUCAGAGUCCUUAACUUUAUCCCGUCUCCCUCUCCCUCUCCAUCUCUCUUUCCUCUCUUUCCUCUCUCCAUCUUCCUCUUUCCCUCCUACACUUUUCCUCUUGUUCCUGCCGUUCAUAGAAGGACACGACUUGUCAUCCUGCACGUGUGUUUGACGUCUCACUCCCCAGUUGUGUUAGAAACUCCAUUUUCUUCCUCAUUGCUGUCUUCCUGGGUCCUAGAGAGGAAUGUUGGUUGAAUUUUCCUCAAUGUCUCUCCUUUCAUCCUUUCCUUCCACUUCCUGGGCAUGCAUUUGUCCAAUAAGAGAGGAAGAAAGACUGACAUCAUGCUCUAAACCCAGGGGAUUUCCAGCCCGUCUCGGGGUGACACUUAUGUGACCAUUGAGGUCUCUUUAUGUGAUGUCUUGCUGUGGGCAGUGCCAGGCCUAGUGGGCUGGCACCAGAGCAGCUUGGGGUUGGGGAAGCAACCUUCCAUGAAGACCCUGUUUCCAGGUGGAUCCCAGCCCCUUGGCCAAGCCCUGCUCCUCCGCUUGGGUCUCAGGGAUGCCAUCCACCUUCUCUUUUGCUUCUUCUAUUUUCUUGGUGAAAUAGCGGCAGGGCCGCGGGGCCGCUGGAGGCUAGGGGAGGGUUGUCUAGGACAGAGGAAGGGCGGGCAGGCUUACUGGGGGCCAAGGUCCCAUUGCAGAGGGGGCCCCUCGGUUGUGUUCAGCUGCUGGGCGCCGGGGUGGAGGAGCAGAGUGCUUUUCUUCAGGCCUGGUGUUUGCCAGGCUGGCAAGCCUCUGUGGGAAGAGGUUCCCCUUUGUUUUCUGCAGAGUGCGUGGGAGCUCCCCCUGUGGACUGAGGGUGGCCACAUCGGAGGUGGGAGUGAAGGAGCUCAGGGACACACAGGACAUCUGGAGUGUUCUCAGUGAACCCAGGUAAAUGGCCUCCUGCUUCCUCCACGGCUGUCCUGAGCUGUAAUACGAUCUCAGGUGGCAAUGCCAAGGAGCAGGAGGGGAGGGGGCAUGAAUGUCCAGGCCCUCAGGCUGUUUGUCCAAGACCCGAUCUUCCACUUGGGACCACUGUCUGAACACAGCACUCACUACCCACAACCUCAGGCUGGAGGGCGAGGUGCCAUGAGCAUCGCAGAUGCUCACAGGGCAUGUCUGCCAUGCACCAGACAGGCAGGGGUUCAGGGGCACAUAAGUCAAGAAACCCCAGUCUGCAGCAGGUCCACUGAGGCAGGAGAACAGCAAGGCAGCUCAGAAGUGACUUCCCAUUGAGACCUGGGGAUUAGGAUCCAUUCUGGUUUGUCCUUCCCCAUGAAAAUAGACAAUGGGAAAAAACCAGGGACCAAGAGGUUUGCAGGCUGAGUUUCUGUCUGUGCUGUGGGCUGCUCUGACAGGUGUGUCCUCAGAGCCUUUUAUGGGCUACGCUUGUGACUCAGGCAGCACAAGGGACUCCCCAGUUCCCUGCAUGGGAGGUCCCUCUGACGGGAAGUGGUGCCUGGUAUCCAGUUUGCUUUCGUAUCAGUUCCUUUUGCAUCCAACGACUCCAGUACCUCAAGAUGUGGCAGGAAAAGCCCUUCCUAGAAACUUUUGGUGUGUUGGGCCUUUGCUGCUCAGACCUUGUGGAGUGCCUGAGGAUCAGUGGGAGAGGGGUGGGUGCCCCUGAGCUGGAAGGCCCCCAGCCAGUGCUGAGGAAAUGUGGGUGACACAGAACAGGCAGGUAACAGGCCAGUGCCAUUCUCUGCCGGACUUCCACCUCCCCGACGACAGCAGCACUCCGUUGUGUUAGACGCCACCAGGCCUCCUUGGGACCCUGCCUUGGGGUGCUCACGUGGGAGGACUCUUGCCUCUGCUGCUGUCGAGGGGAGCCCUCCCCUCUGGGUCUGUAGGCUGCAGAACACGCCAAGGGGCACUGCAGCAUGGAGGCAGGCUGGAAGGUUGGGGAGCAGAGGCUGCAGGGAGUAGAGGGAAAAAGAUUUAAAGGAGACUGAAGUAAAAGGAAGAAACCUAAUUCAGUAGUUCUCAACAGGGGGUGAUAGCACCCCACGGGGGACACUCGCCAAUGUCUGGGUGCAUUUUUGGUUGUCACAGCUGGUGGUUGCUACAGGCAUCUGGUGGGUCGAGGCCAGGAUCUUGCUCAUCAUCUUACAAUGCCCAGGGCAGCCCUGCCACAGAGAAUGACCCAGCCCCCAAUGUCCACAGUGCCCGGGACGAGAGGGACUGAUUGGGCUCCAGGGAGUGGCUGAGGCUGGGAGGACACGGGCCUCAUUUACCUCCACUUGAGCUCUGCAGGAAAACUCCUCCUUUGACUGGGUAUUUCUGCAGUGGAAAAGCCCCAUUUUUAAUUUUCUUGAGCUGUGACUAGUGGUGCACAAUGUGGCCAGUUGGCCUUUGGGUGAGUUUGGAAAAUGGAAAGGCUCAUAUCUGGGCUCUGGGCCCUGACUUUACCUUGUCUAUGUGGAGCACUCUCAUGCUUGCAUUCCCCACCCUCUCAGCUCUCACGGCAGAAGUGGCAUCUCGCCGCCUGGGAGCUGUCCCUCAGGGGGUUGGGCCCGCAUGGGCUCCUUCCAGCCUUCCAUGGGAUCUAUGGGUGGGCAGAGCACAAAAUAGCCAGGUGAGGCUGGGCGCGGUGGCUCAUUCCUGUAAUCCCAGCACUUUGGGUGGCCGAGGAGGGCGGAUCAUGAGGUCGGGAGAUCGAGACCAUCCUGGCUAACACAGUGAAACCCUGUCCCUACUAAAAAUACAGAAAAUUAGCCGGACGUGGUGGCGGGCACCUGUAUUCCUAGCUACUUGGGAGGCUGAGGUAGGAGAAUGGCGUGAACGCGGGAGGCGGAGCUUGUAGUGAGCCGAGAUCGUGCCACUGCACUCCAGCCUGGGCAACAGAGCAAGACUCUGUCUCAAAAAAAAAAAAAAAAAAAAACCAAAAGAAAUUAGCCAGGAGUGGUGGUGGGUGGCUGUAGUCCCAGCUACUAGGGAGGCUGAGGCAAGGGAAUCGCUUGAACCCAGGAGGCGGAGGUUGCAGUGAUUGGAGAUCGCGCCACUGGACUCCAGCCUGAGUGACAGAGCAAGACUCCAUCUCAACCCCCUCCCUCAAAACAAAAAAAUAAAACAAAAGAAAAGCAAAAAAAAGAGCCAGGUGGGCCUUGCUGUCUUGGCCGACCUCUGCCUUUCCAGGUGAGAUUGGGGCCUGCCUGCUGCGGAAGUGAGGAACAGACGUUGGAGCAGGAGAGAUGGAUGAGGAGAGUCCGGUCUACGUGUUCAAGGAAGCGAAGGGAUGAAGACUCACCUGGUGUGGAGAAGAACAAAGAAAUCCUGAAAAUGUUCAUUGGUUUGGCAGUGGAGGGAUGGCCACACACGCUCCUGUUAGACUGGGUAAUGGGGCAGCUCUUUCUUGGGGGAUGAGCAAUCGGGGACAGUGGCAGGCCCUGUCUUGGGGUCCACAGUGCUAUUUCCAAGGGUAGCAGUAGCUUCCUGGAAGCUGCGGUCUGAGCUGUGCUCCUGGCUGUGAUGUUCUCUUCCCACCCAUGGGUGCCACUCACGCAGGACCCUGCUCUUGCCAUAUCUGCCCUGGAUGCACGUUUCGGCCACGUGCCGCCUGGAAGCAAAGGAUGUAGGUCAGCAUUCAUGGGAGCAGACAGAGAUGGCCCAGGCUACAGGUCCCGGCUGCCCAUUGGAGAACGCAGCUUGGAAAGUACACGCUGAUGUGGCCGCUGAGAACCAACACCCCUUUGACCAUGAGGUCAGACCCCUCUCGGAAGAAGAGAAACUGAGACGCUUGUGAUGGGAGAGCUGCCAUGAGCUGGCUUGGGGCACGGGGGUGGGGAGGAGACGUCAGGAAAACUCUAAAAUUUCUGCAGCAUGUUUUGCUUUUGCUCACCUAGAUUUAGAGGAAUCCUCUGGGAAAAUGAAACUGAAAUCUUACUUCCCCACUGGCAGCCUCCUGGUGGCCACAGGAUAUGGACUUGACUUUGGUUAUAGGCGUGUCAGUGGUUUCCACUGCAUGGUGAUUGUUGGGGGUCAGAUUUGCCAAGGCAUAACUUAUGUACAAUAAAACCCACCAAUUUUA